AUUGAACGCUGGCGGCAUGCUUUACACAUGCAAGUCGAACGGCAGCGGGGGCUUCGGCCUGCCGGCGAGUGGCGAACGGGUGAGUAAUGCAUCGGAACGUGCCCAUGUCGUGGGGGAUAACGUAGCGAAAGCUACGCUAAUACCGCAUACGUCCUGAGGGAGAAAGCGGGGGAUCUUUGGACCUCGCGCGAUUGGAGCGGCCGAUGUCGGAUUAGCUAGUAGGUGAGGUAAAGGCUCACCUAGGCGACGAUCCGUAGCGGGUCUGAGAGGAUGAUCCGCCACACUGGGACUGAGACACGGCCCAGACUCCUACGGGAGGCAGCAGUGGGGAAUUUUGGACAAUGGGGGCAACCCUGAUCCAGCCAUGCCGCGUGAGUGAAGAAGGCCUGGUGUAAGCUCUUCGUCCGGAGAAGUACGUGGUCGUCUAACAUAAGGCCGAUGGAUGACGGUACGGACCGUAAGAAGACGCCGGCGUAACU
rnacentral:rRNA from 1 species